CAGCCGUUUCAACGAAUACCGCCGACUUUCCGCUAUCUUGCGGAGACAGCGCUGAGCACUAGACUUUCACUGCUUCACAUCACUCUCCCCCCCUCUUGCUGCUGUAGCUUUCAAGUUUAGCGUAUCCACACAUAAUUCGUAGCUGCGAGCCUGCAUUUGCUGCUUGCUGUCCGUUUCUCACUCUGCAGCUCUUCUCUUUUUGAAGAGCCGCAUUUGCAUACUUUUACAGUUGGAUCUUAUAUCUUGCGUAGGAAGCAUUUAUUUCAGCAACCGUCAGCAAAAUUUCAUUAUCAUACUUUUUUCUUUUUCUUUUUUUUGCCAAGUUCAUUAUCAUUCAUCUCUUGCUGGAGAGAGAUCCCAAAUCCCAUGGAAUCGGGUGCAUUUCAUUACUGCUCUUCAGUGCUGCUCCUAAUCAUCUCAGUAGGCAUUUUGUUAUUUCCUCUAAUGGUUGCUUCAAUCGGAAUAAACUACGGCCAAAUAGCGAACAAUCUACCUUCACCAGAGGACGUAGUCCCUCUUGUGAAAUCUGUGGGUGCCACUAAGGUGAAGCUCUACGACGCAGAUCCAAGAGUGCUCCAAGCAUUCGCCAACACCGGCGUGGAAUUCAUAGUCGGCUUGGGUAAUGAUUACUUGGCGAAGAUGAAGGACCCCGAGAAAGCCCAAGCUUGGGUCAAGACCAACGUCCAGGCCUUCCUCCCGGCAACGAACAUCACCUCCAUCUUCGUGGGCAACGAAGUUUUAACCUUCAACGACACCACUCUCACAGGCUCUCUUCUUCCAGCGAUGCAGAGCGUGCACACGGCGCUCGUGAAUCUUGGGUUAGACAAACGGGUGGCUGUGACUACCGCUCACUCCUUGGCCAUUCUAGAAACCUCAUACCCACCUUCGGCCGGGGCUUUUCGUCCCGAUCUAACGGCCUGUAUAAACCAACUCUUGACCUUCCACGCCAAGACGGGCUCGCCAUUCUUGAUCAACGCGUACCCUUUCUUCGCCUACAAGGCGAACCCGAAGCAGGUCUCACUGGACUUCGUUCUCUUCCAGCCGAACUCGGGGAUCGUAGACCCUUCCACGAACCUCCGCUACGACAACAUGUUGAUCGCGCAGAUCGACGCCGUGUACGCCGCUCUAGCUUCGGCUGGUUACAAGAAGCUGCCUGUUCACAUCUCCGAGACGGGUUGGCCGUCGAGAGGGGACGAGGACGAGGCCGGUGCUACACCGGAGAACGCAAAGAAGUACAACGGGAACCUGUUUAAGCUGAUGAAGAAGAAGGGGACGCCGAUGAGGCCGAGCUCUGACCUAAAUAUCUACGUCUUUGCUUUGUUCAACGAGAACAUGAAACCCGGACCGACUUCCGAGAGGAAUUACGGGCUGUUCAAGCCUGACGGUACUCCGGUGUACUCGCUUGGAAUUGCCACAAACGAAGGCGUUAGCAACGCUACGAGUUUCGGGGAACCCACUCCCGAGAGCUCCGGUAUGCCAAACACGAUGCCGGAGAGUUCUUCCACUGGUUAUUUGUCCAUUUCCUCUUCUUCUCCGGAGAGAUAUCAUUUGGGAGUUGGGCCAGCAUUCUUUUUCAUCAUGUCUAUGGUGAUUAGAUUGGUACUUUAUUAAUUUUGGAAAAAGCAAGGGUUCGAAAUUUGCCAUAGUCUACAAAGCAGGAGGAGAGCCGUUUAAACUUGUUAAAAAAAAAAAAAAAAGCAGUAGAGGGGAGGGAGAAAAGAGAAGAAAAGAAGAAUAAAAAGAGGUCAGAGGCAGCUUCGCAGUUAGGAAAAGAACAAAAGGGAGGAUAUAUGUCCGAAUCACAAUUAUUUGCAAGGCAUUAAGUUUGGUAGAUGGAGGAGUUGGAACAUAUUCUAUUCUUUAGUCUUGGGUUAGAUUAUUGAUUUAACAUAUGAUUGUUGUAUCUCCUUCCUUUUCAUUGCUGUAGCCUGUGAACGGAGGGGGAAUUUUAUUAUGCCAUGAUUGAUGAGAA